UUUCCGUAGGUGAACCUGCGGAAGGAUCAUUAUUGUAUAACCGAUGUGCGAGGGCUGUCGCUGACCCGAACGGUCUUUCCCGUCCGAGUGCCCUCACACACGUCCAUCUCACCCCUAUGUGCACCACCGCAUCUGUCCCCCUUUGGCUUAUUCUGAGGGAGGCUUACGUUUUCACCCAAACUUUGCGUACCUUUUAGAUUGUAUUUUUUUUUUUUGCGCACCCGAUCUCAAUACCACUCUCAACAACUGAACUCUUGGCCCUCGCAUCCAUGUAGAACC
rnacentral:misc_RNA from 1 species